rnacentral:snRNA from 1 species
GUGCUUGCUUCGCCAGCACGUAUACUAAAAUUGGAAAACCACAGAAAAAAUUCACGUGGCCCCUGUGCAAGGAUGACAAGCAAAUUCAUGAAGCAUUCCAUAUUUCU